UUUUUUCCAGCAGUAUUCUCCCCCCAGCAUGGGUGAUCCCCAUUUGGAAGUUUCGGUCGUGGGUGGUUUGAGACCCCCGUACCCUAUCACUCUCCCCAGUGCAAUCGCCAGUGGAGUUGUGGUCUUUCUCCUCAGUAUGGAUGCUUUUCCUUUGAAGAUUCAAUAGUUGGCGGAUUGAUAUCCUGGUACUUUACCACUUUCCCCAGUAUUGUCGUAAGCAGAGUUGUUG
rnacentral:lncRNA from 1 species